CGUUCCCAUUCCGAACACGGAAGUGAAGCCCUCCAGCGCCGAUGGUACUGAUUACUCGGGAGAGUAGGUCGCUGCCGGAA
rnacentral:rRNA from 1 species